UUCAACGAAGGUGACAAGAAGGGGCGAAUGGUUCCACGAAGGAGGGGAGCUUCUUCGUCGUUCUACUAACAACUCCCCGAAAGAAGCUAAAAUUGACGCGUAGAAGAGUCUUCACCAAGUAUAAGCGCCAGCCGCACGUCCGCCCACGAGUGUUGGGACAACGGUAAACCCAAGUGGAAGAAAACAGACUCCGAGAAGAAUCAGGGCAUCCACGCAACAGGCGGGGGGCACUGGUGUCGCACCCGCUGAACAAUGAGCCCGUCCCUCCAUCUUGUGGGGGCACUGGUGUCCCGUAUGGCAAUGCGGCUGCCAAGCCCGUACAACAGUGGCAGCGCCCGCGCUGGUUGGCCGGUGCUUUCAAUGCUGCCAGCCGCCAUUCCCGAAGCCACAGUGAACGAGCGUGACAACUGACAUGAUGCCUGAUUCACCUGCCUCACCGCUGCUGGACUGGGGUGGCAUCAUGGAGGUUGCGGUUGCUGCGCCACCAACCAAGCCCCCGCCUCCUCUACCUCCUCAGCCACGUGUGGUUGACCGAGUGAAGACAACUAAAGGCCGCACCAACUGAAGGAGCUGCACCUGCUGCAGGUGGAGCUACGUCAGAGUCAGGCUGUCUAUUAACAGACGCAGGCCCAGGUUUUCCAUCAGCAGCAGUGUUAUUUAUGUAAUGUCUCUUUUAUUAUUGUGUAGUCCAUGUGCAGCCUCGCUCAUUAAAUGCUGUUGUCACAGAGUUUUGCCAUAGUUUUCAUUGAGCUAAGACCUCUCAUUUCCUGUCCAGGGGUUUGUGCCUCGCAAUCCUCUAUGAACUUGCACCGCCUACCAGA